AUGGCGCGCGAGCUCUGGACGGCGCUGUCGGGGAUGUUCUCCUCGCAGUCGCUCAGUCGCGUCAACAACAUCAGAACCUCUCUGGUGAACGCCCAGAAGGGUAACAAGACCGUCGCCACCUACUUCGCCGAGAUGCGCCGCUUCGCCGAUGAGCUGGCCGCCGCCGGGAAACCUCUCCAGGAUGAUGAACUCAUCUCCUACAUCAUGCACGACCUCGACAUGGACUACCAGCCACUCGUCUCCGCCCUCGACGCCCGCAUCACCCCGGUAUCCCUCGAUGAGCUUUUUUCAAUGCUUAGCAACUUUGAUUAG
rnacentral:rRNA from 1 species